UACGUAGGGGGCAAGCGUUGUCCGGAUUUAUUGGGCGUAAAGAGCGUGUAGGCGGCCACACAGGUCUGCUGUGAAAACUCGAGGCUCAACCUCGAGCUGUCGGUGGAAACCGUGUGGCUAGAGUCCGGAAGAGGAGUGUGGAAUUCCUGGUGUAGCGGUGAAAUGCGCAGAUAUCAGGAGGAACACCAAUGGCGAAGGCAGCUCGCUGGGACGUGACUGACGCUGAGACGCGAAAGCGUGGGGAGCAAACAGG
rnacentral:rRNA from 1 species